rnacentral:rRNA from 1 species
AAAAAAGGUAAGCUACUAAGAGCGAAUGGUGGAUGCCUUGACUGGUAAAGGCGAUGAAGGACGUACUAGACUGCGAUAAGCUACGGGGAGCUGUCAAGAAGCUUUGAUCCGUAGAUUUCCGAAUGGGGCAACCCAAUGUAUAGAGAUAUACAUUACCUAUAUAGGAGCGAACGAGGGGAAUUGAAACAUCUUAGUACCCUCAGGAAAAGAAAUCAAUAGAGAUUGCGUCAGUAGCGGCGAGCGAAAGCGCAAGAGGGCAAACCCAGUGCUUGCACUGGGGGUUGUAGGACUGCAAUGUGCAAGAGCUGAGUUUAGCAGAACAUUCUGGAAAGUAUAGCCAUAGAGGGUGAUAGUCCCGUAUGCGAAAAACAAAGCUUAGCUAGCAGUAUCCUGAGUAGGGCGGGACACGAGGAAUCCUGUCUGAAUCCGGGUCGACCACGAUCCAACCCUAAAUACUAAUACCAGAUCGAUAGUGCACAAGUACCGUGAGGGAAAGGUGAAAAGAACUGAGGUGAUCAGAGUGAAAUAGAACCUGAAACCAUUUGCUUACAAUCAUUCAGAGCACUAUGUAGCAAUACAGUGUGAUGGACUGCCUUUUGCAUAAUGAGCCUGCGAGUUGUGGUGUCUGGCAAGGUUAAGCAAACGCGAAGCCGUAGCGAAAGCGAGUCUGAAUAGGGCGCUUAGUCAGAUGCUGCAGACCCGAAACGAAGUGAUCUAUCCAUGAGCAAGUUGAAGCUAGUGUAAGAACUAGUGGAGGACUGAACCCAUAGGCGUUGAAAAGCCCCGGGAUGACUUGUGGAUAGGGGUGAAAGGCCAAUCAAACUUCGUGAUAGCUGGUUCUCUCCGAAAUAUAUUUAGGUAUAGCGUUGUGUCGUAAUAUAAGGGGGUAGAGCACUGAAUGGGCUAGGGCAUACACCAAUGUACCAAACCCUAUCAAACUCCGAAUACCUUAUAUGUAAUCACAGCAGUCAGGCGGCGAGUGAUAAAAUCCGUCGUCAAGAGGGAAACAACCCAGACUACCAGCUAAGGUCCCUAAAUCUUACUUAAGUGGAAAACGAUGUGAAGUUACUUAAACAACCAGGAGGUUGGCUUAGAAGCAGCCAUCCUUUAAAGAAAGCGUAAUAGCUCACUGGUCUAGUGAUUUUGCGCGGAAAAUAUAACGGGGCUAAAGUAAGUACCGAAGCUGUAGACUUGCGCACAACUUAGAUUAUUUAAGUUUAGAAUAUGAGAAACUAAGUUAUGUUUAGUUAUAUUUUUACUGAUUUUUAUAGAGUAAAGAUAGAAAUAAAACUUAGUAAAAUCAGUAAAAAUAUUCUUAGGCUAAAGUUAAGUAGUUUAAGUUGUGUGCAAGUGGUAGGAGAGCGUUCUAUUUGCGUCGAAGGUAUACCGGUAAGGAGUGCUGGAGCGAAUAGAAGUGAGCAUGCAGGCAUGAGUAGCGAUAAUUAAUGUGAGAAUCAUUAACGCCGUAAACCCAAGGUUUCCUACGCGAUGCUCGUCAUCGUAGGGUUAGUCGGGUCCUAAGUCGAGUCCGAAAGGGGUAGACGAUGGCAAAUUGGUUAAUAUUCCAAUACCAACAUUAGUGUGCGAUGGAAGGACGCUUAGGGCUAAGGGGGCUAGCGGAUGGAAGUGCUAGUCUAAGGUCGUAGGAGGUUAUACAGGCAAAUCCGUAUAACAAUACUCCGAGAACUGAAAGGCUUUUUGAAGUCUUCGGAUGGAUAGAAGAACCCCUGAUGCCGUCGAGCCAAGAAAAGUUUCUAAGUUUAGCUAAUGUUGCCCGUACCGUAAACCGACACAGGUGGGUGGGAUGAGUAUUCUAAGGCGCGUGGAAGAACUCUCUUUAAGGAACUCUGCAAAAUAGCACCGUAUCUUCGGUAUAAGGUGUGGUUAGCUU